rnacentral:rRNA from 1 species
AGCGAACGCUGGCGGUAGGCCUAACACAUGCAAGUCGAACGAACGCUUCGGAGUUGGUGGCGGACGGGUGUGUAACAUGGGGGAACGGGCCUUUUGGUUCGGAAUAACACAGGGAAACGUGUGCUAAUACCGAGUGUGCUCUUCGGGGGAAAGAUUUAUCGCCAUUAGAGCGGCCCGCGACUGACUAGCUAGUUGGUGAGGUAACGGCUCACCACGGCGUCGAUCAGUAGCUGGUCUGAGAGAAAGGCCCGCCACACUGAGACUGAGCCACGGCGCAGACUCCUACAGGAGGGAGCAGUGGGGAAUCUAGCGAAAUGGGCGAAAGCCUGACGCCGUCAUGCCGCGUGAAUGAUGAAGGUCUUAAAAAAGAGCAGUUCUUUAACCGGGGACGAUACUGACGGUACCCGGAGAAGAAGCCCCGGCUAACUUCGUG